UAUUCAUUCAAAGUUUCAUUCUACAUUGCAUACAGCAAAUCUUUUGAAACGAUAGAGACUGCUUAUAGAUAUUUAUAUAGAAACGUUUUCAGGUUGUCAAAAUAGGACGAAUCAAGCUAUAUGUUUUAUUACUUAUAGAUGCCAGCGUAGACGAAUUGAUGGAAAUCAGAAUUUUUGAUCCAAUGGCAAAGACCUGGUCAAAACAAGAGAUAAAAGAACUUAUUCACCAGGCAGAUUUACCAAAUUUAGGUUAUAAAAAAAUUACAGAGAUAAAGACUGUAACCGACUUUGAAUCAGCCAAUAAGGCAAACCACAGUAAGGUUUUUAAAGAAAAUGCCCUGCAGUGAGGUUGUGGAGGCUGAAAAAAUGCUAAGUCAGCUUUUUCCUGGAUUUGUGAGUGAGGACGUGGAACGAAGAACAAAAUUGCAAAUGGAAAAACUGAAUCUUAAAAAUGAAAAUGCUACGUGCAUUUCUGGCGUUGAGUUUAACGUAAAUUUCUGUAAAAAUGCAAGAUGCAAACGUGGAAUCGCAGAGAAAGAUGAUACAAUUACUAUUGUCCAAAUAAUAAUAAUUAAAGAUGAGGAGACAAAAUGAAAAUAAAUUUAUUCAAAGAGUAUCGCAAUCAACUUCAAUAAGCAUUUUAAAAGUUUUAUUACUUAUAAUCUUACUUACUUAUAAUAUUACUAUUGAAACUUGAACUAUUAAAAUAAAACAUACUUAAAUAUGGAAAAA